AGUGAACGCUGGCGGUAGGCCUAACACAUGCAAGUCGAACGGCAGCACAGUAAGAGCUUGCUCUUACGGGUGGCGAGUGGCGGACGGGUGAGGAAUACAUCGGAAUCUACUUUUUCGUGGGGGAUAACGUAGGGAAACUUACGCUAAUACCGCAUACGACCUACGGGUGAAAGCAGGGGAUCUUCGGACCUUGCGCGAUUGAAUGAGCCGAUGUCGGAUUAGCUAGUUGGCGGGGUAACGGCCCACCAAGGCGACGAUCCGUAGCUGGUCUGAGAGGAUGAUCAGCCACACUGGAACUGAGACACGGUCCAGACUCCUACGGGAGGCAGCAGUGGGGAAUAUUGGACAAUGGGCGCAAGCCUGAUCCAGCCCUACCGCGUGGGUGAAGAAGGCCUUCGGGUUGUAAAGCCCUUUUGUUGGGAAAGAAAAGCAGCAGGUUAAUACCCCGCUGUUCUGACGGUACCCAAAGAAUAAGCACCGGCUAACUUCGUG
rnacentral:rRNA from 1 species